AUUGAACGCUGGCGGCAUGCCUUACACAUGCAAGUCGAACGGUAACAGGUCUUCGGAUGCUGACGAGUGGCGAACGGGUGAGUAAUACAUCGGAACGUGCCCGAUCGUGGGGGAUAACGGAGCGAAAGCUUUGCUAUUACCGCAUACGAUCUACGGAUGAAAGCAGGGGACCGCAAGGCCUUGCGCGGACGGAGCGGCCGAUGGCAGAUUAGGUAGUUGGGGGGAUAAAAGCUUACCAAGCCGACGAUCUGUAGCUGGUCUGAGAGGACGACCAGCCACACUGGGACUGAGACACGGCCCAGACUCCUACGGGAGGCAGCAGUGGGGAAUUUUGGACAAUGGGCGAAAGCCUGAUCCAGCCAUGCCGCGUGCAGGAUGAAGGCCUUCGGGUUGUAAACUGCUUUUGUACGGAGCGAAAAGGCUCUCUCUAAUACAGGGGGCUCAUGACGGUACCGUAAGAAUAAGCCCCGGCUAACUUCGUGCCAGCCGCCGCAGUAA
rnacentral:rRNA from 1 species